rnacentral:rRNA from 2 species
UAGACUGGGAUAACUCCGGGAAACCGGAGCUAAUACGGGAUAAUAAAGAGAAUCACCUGAUUCUCUUUUGAAAGACGGUUUCGGCUGUCACUAAGGGAUGGGCCUGCGGCGCAUUAGCUAGUUGGUAAGGUAACGGCUUACCAAGGCGACGAUGCGUAGCCGACCUGAGAGGGUGAUCGGCCACACUGGGACUGAGACACGGCCCAGACUCCUACGGGAGGCAGCAGUAGGGAAUCUUCCGCAAUGGACGAAAGUCUGACGGAGCAACGCCGCGUGAGUGAGGAAGGCCUUCGGGUCGUAAAGCUCUGUUGUGAGGGAAGAACAAGUACCGGCGUAACUACCGGUACCUUGACGGUACCUCACCAGAAAGCCACGGCUAACUACGUGCCAGCAGCCGCGGUAAUACGUAGGUGGCAAGCGUUGUCCGGAAUUAUUGGGCGUAAAGCGCGCGCAGGCGGCUUCUUAAGUCUGAUGUGAAAUCUCGGGGCUCAACCCCGAGCGGCCAUUGGAAACUGGGAAGCUUGAGUGCAGAAGAGGAGAGUGGAAUUCCACGUGUAGCGGUGAAAUGCGUAGAUAUGUGGAGGAACACCAGUGGCGAAGGCGACUCUCUGGUCUGUAACUGACGCUGAGGCGCGAAAGCGUGGGGAGCAAACAGGAUUAGAUACCCUG